ACAAACAGCCCGUGAAGAGAAGAAAGAGCGUUACGUCUUCUCUGCUGCUGCUGCUGCUGCUACAGAUUCGCCGGCACUACCAAGGAAGAGGAGGAGGAACACCGUCGACGUAGCGUUCUUAAACAGUUUCAGAGGACACCUUUCACGGGAUCGUUCAGGUUCCUCUUUGUUUACCCCCAAUCGCCUCGCCCAAGUGGUUAACAAUCCGAGUUUGAGCGCACAAAUUGCAGAUAUUCUUGGACGAGAUUAGAUACACGAUUUUCAGGUACAACUUUUGUUUAAAUUCUUCAUAAUAAUACAUGGAGAAUUGACAGGUUAUAUACUGUAGGUUGAAGAAGUAAUUAAGUAGUCUGUAUUUUCAAACUUAACAACAUAAUAGGUCUACUUUUUUUUUUUUAUAUGUAAUUAAGAACUUAUUACCUCAAACUAAUUAUUCCAAAGAUAGAUAAAAGCAAAAUACAU